ensembl:lncRNA
GUGAGCUAAUUGUACAUAAAUACCUCUUAUAAGAAAGCUAGUUAGUCUGUUAGUUACAUUACCGAGAUUGGGACUUAUCAUGAUAUACAGAACAUAAAACAAUCCUUGUUAUCCAGAAAGCUAAGGCACCUGGUAGCGUAUAAAUGUUCACCACUGCUCGGGCUUUUGUGUGGCCAUGUAGAGCCUGAAAUUAUUACUUUACCUUUCAUGCUGUUAUUUGAGCAAUGGCAGAUUAUGUAAAUGUACUUUAGUACUGAACAUUCUCUUCCUGGCAUCAUUUUGUCAUCUAAAAAUAAGGAAAUUUGUGUUUGACCAUGAAGCGAGAUCGAUCAACUGCAGACCAGACAACAAACGACGGAGGCACCAGACGAAUGCAAUCAAACGAUGAGUUUAUUAACACAGGAGAGGCAACAUCUGCAUAUGUCUUCCUCUGACAAAAAUUCAUCAAAUGCUGGUUUUAUACCAUAGAACAUUAACGCCCACACAUACACGUCAAUACAAGUCAAAAAUACAUUGUUGGCAGACAUGAGCGCAUCUUAUACAUUUUAAUAACUAUAAACAGUCAUAUAACUUCUCUUUUCUAUAACACCUGCCUUUUAAGUGAAGCUUAAAACCCUCUUGGAUGGAACAUCAACUCUAAACAAGCACAGGACAGAGCCUACAGUAUGCCGCAGCCUAAAGGCAGAGUGAUGUUGCUGAGGCUGGAGUGAUUACUGGCCUUCUUCUUACAGGGUGGUGGGUCUUGGAGGACAACUGCUGAUCCCUGUUAAAGUGGUCGACAUGUGAAGUGCAACUGGCUCGUGGCAAAGCUGGCUCUGGCCUUGGACUGUGUGGUUUUUAGCCUUCAUUUUUG